CCAGACUCCUACGGGAGGCAGCAGUGAGGAAUAUUGGUCAAUGGGCGCAGGCCUGAACCAGCCAAGUCGCGUGAGGGAAGACUGCCCUAUGGGUUGUAAACCUCUUUUGUCAGGGAGCAACGCCGGCUACGUGUAGCCGGACUGAGAGUACCUGAAGAAAAAGCAUCGGCUAACUCCGUGCCAGCAGCCGCGGUAAUACGGAGGAUGCGAGCGUUAUCCGGAUUUACUGGGUGUAAAGGGCGUGCAGCCGGGAAGACAAGUCAGAUGUGAAAUCCCGCGGCUCAACCGCGGAACUGCAUUUGAAACUGUUUUUCUUGAGUACCGGAGAGGUCAUCGGAAUUCCUUGUGUAGCGGUGAAAUGCGUAGAUAUAAGGAAGAACACCAGUGGCGAAGGCGGAUGACUGGACGGCAACUGACGGUGAGGCGCGAAAGCGUGGGGAGCAAACAGGAUUAGAUACCCUUGUAC
rnacentral:rRNA from 1 species